GGGUAAGUUAGAAAGGGCGCACGGCGGAUGCCUUGGCACUAGGAGCCGAUGAAGGACGGUACAAACACCGAUAUGCUCCGGGGAGCUGUACGUAAGCUUUGAUCCGGAGAUUUCCGAAUGGGGAAACCCCCUGUCUUUAAUCGGACAGGAUUCCUGCCUGAAUCCAUAGGGCAGGAAGGGCACACC
rnacentral:rRNA from 1 species